rnacentral:rRNA from 1 species
AUGAACGCUGGCGGCGUGCCUAACACAUGCAAGUCGGACGGGUCGGAUCACGUUCUAAGGGGUAGAAGGCCUCGAGCUUGAGAAAUCGGGCGAGGGGCUGGAAGCCCUGGCGGGCGUGGCACCGGUCAGUGGCGGACGGGUGAGUAACACGUAGGUGAUCUGCCCCAAAGUGGGGGAAUAACCAUCCGAAAGGGUGGCUAAUACCGCGUAAUGUCCCCGGGCUGAGGCUUGGGGAAGAAAGGGCCUUCGGGUCCGCUUUGGGAGGAGCCUGCGGCCGAUUAGCUAGUUGGUGGGGUAACGGCCCACCAAGGCGACGAUCGGUAGCUGGUCUGAGAGGACGAUCAGCCACACUGGAACUGAGACACGGUCCAGACUCCUACGGGAGGCAGCAGUGAGGAAUAUUGCACAAUGGGGGCAACCCAGAUGCAGCAACGCCGCGUGAGCGAAGAAGGCCUUCGGGUCGUAAAGCCCUUUUCUGGGGGAUGAGGAAGGACAGUACCCCAGGAAUAAGUCUCGGCUAACUACGUG